rnacentral:rRNA from 1 species
CAGCAGCCGCGGGAAUACGGAGGGCGCGAGCGUUACCCGGAUUUACUGGGCGUAAAGGGCGUGUAGGCGGCCUGGGGCGUCCCAUGUGAAGGGCCACGGCUCAACCGUGGAGGAGCGUGGGAUACGCUCAGGCUAGAGGGUGGGAGAGGGUGGUGGAAUUCCCGGAGUAGCGGUGAAAUGCGCAGAUACCGGGAGGAACGCCGAUGGCGAAGGCAGCCACCUGUCCACUUCUGACGCUGAGGCGCGAAAGCGUGGGGAGCAAACCGGAUUAGAUACCCCUGUAGUCCCUGUCUCUUAUACA